rnacentral:rRNA from 1 species
UCGUGGAGCGAUUUGUCUGGUUUAUUCCGAUAACGAGCGAGACUCUAGCUUACUAAAUAGUCUUGCCUUUGUUUUGAGGCCUGACUUCUUAGAAGGAUUUUCGGUGUUUAGCCGCACGAGAUUGAGCAAUAACA